UUCUUAGCUAAGCCGAAGAGAAGGGGUGGCGGGUGGUUGUGAUCAUGUGGUCUGGCGAAGUAGCGGCGGCGACCAGCAGAGGGCGAGGGACGGCGGCAGCCGGCCGUGGUCUGAUUCUAGCCCUAUGCCAUGUCAUCAAAUUCAGUUGGAACCCAGAGUGCGGAAGUGACAAUGUCAGGAGUUGCAGGUAAUGCUCCUGAAGCUCCUCAAGGUAAAUUUGAUCGGUGCCUUGAGGUGAUGCCGAAGUUGCCGAAAAGCUUCUGGAUUAUGAUAAAAGUUUAGAUGCCUGAAGCGACAGCUUGUACAGUUGUACCUAUGGGUGAGGUGGAAAACAGAAUUGGGAGACUGGAAAAAUGGUAUAAAAAAAGGAGGCUGGUGAUAAACCAGACGCUGAAAGAAUGCGUUCUGGUAGCGAAUGUGCGAAUCGGAUUAAAGGUGCUUCUCACCCUACAGCAAAUCGAUGAGUGGUAAGUUACGUGCAAAUAUGUGGCGAUUGUGAAACUCUUGGAGGCAGCCAUUGGGUAGGAGAGCAGGCAGGGAGCAAAGCGUGAGGCGAUCCAGAACGCAGUGGUAUGGUUAAACAAGAGCAAGUGGGAUCUGGUUUUGCUUGCUAGCCGCUACCUAUGGUGAUCACAGCCAUGUGCGGAGCGUGAUGUGGGGCCCUUGCGUGAUGCCAUGUACCUUGCAUGCAACACUGAAUGCGCAUCAUCCGCGCGGACUCCGCCAUCACCGUCCAUGUGUGGGUUGUGUUUGCACCGAUGACGAGGUAAACCCAUUCUCUCAGUUGUAAGAUGAUACCGUCAUCUGCUUAUAAAUGAGGCUCACUCUAAUA